rnacentral:rRNA from 1 species
UACGGGGGGGGCAAGCGUUGUUCGGAAUUACUGGGCGUAAAGCGUGCGCAGGCGGUUAUGCAAGACAGAUGUGAAAUCCCCGGGCUCAACCUGGGAACUGCAUUUGUGACUGCAUGGCUAGAGUACGGUAGAGGGGGAUGGAAUUCCGCGUGUAGCAGUGAAAUGCGUAGAUAUGGGGAGGAACACCGGUGGCGAAGGCGGCCAUCUGGACGGAUACUGACGCUGAGACGCGAAAGCGUGGGGAGCAAACAGG